rnacentral:rRNA from 1 species
GACAGACUCCUACGGGAGGCAGCAGUGGGGAAUAUUGCACAAUGGGCGCAAGCCUGAUGCAGCCAUGCCGCGUGUAUGAAGAAGGCCUUCGGGUUGUAAAGUACCUUCAGCGGGGAGGAAGGCGAUAAGGUUAAUAACCUUGUUGAUUGACGUUACCCGCAGAAGAAGCACCGGCUAACUCCGUGCCAGCAGCCGCGGUAAUACGGAGGGUGUAAGCGUUAAUCGGAAUUACUGGGCGUAAAGCGCACGCAGGCGGUCUGUCAAGUCGGAUGUGAAAGCCCCGGGCUCAACCUGGGAACUGCAUUCGAAACUGGCAGGCUGGAGUCUGGUAGAGGGGGGUAGAAUUCCAGGUGUAGCGGUGAAAUGCGUAGAGAUCUGGAGGAAUACCGGUGGCGAAGGCGGCCCCCUGGACAAAGACUGACGCUCAGGUGCGAAAGCGUGGGGAGCAAACAGGAUUAGAUCCCCCCGUA